GACGUAGGGUGCAAGCGUUGUCCGGAAUUAUUGGGCGUAAAGAGCUCGUAGGCGGCUUGUCACGUCGGAUGUGAAAGCCCGGGGCUUAACUCCGGGUCUGCAUUCGAUACGGGCUGGCUAGAGUGUGGUAGGGGAGAUCGGAAUUCCUGGUGUAGCGGUGAAAUGCGCAGAUAUCAGGAGGAACACCGGUGGCGAAGGCGGAUCUCUGGGCCAUUACUGACGCUGAGGAGCGAAAGCGUGGGGAGCGAACAGG
rnacentral:rRNA from 1 species